GUUUGCUUAUGAGAUGCUAUUAUUUUAUUGUACUUUUUUACAUGUUUAUUAUAUAUUAUGUACUUGUAAAUGUAUUAGGUAAAUAUAUUUUGUAGGCACAUAAAUUUAUUGCUUUAUGUAAAUUUAAUAUUUCAUUACUUAUCGAUUAUCUAUUGUAUAUAAGGCACAUGAUGCUACAUUGGUAUUUGGAAUUCAUUACCCUAACUAUACUGUAAUUAAAAUAAUUCUCCUAACUAGUACCAAAGGCUUCCACUUAGCAAUCACUCGAAGUGUGCCAGCACCUCCACUCACUUCACGUCAAGCGAUUCCCAUCAUUGUUUCACUGGUGGAGAAACCGAGGCCCAGGGCACAUGGGGUAAGGCGUUCAGGGGGCUUUCGGUCCGGAAGCAGCGUCGGGGCGGGAAUUCGAACCCUGGGUUCCCACACUCGCCGGUGGCAGGGCCCCCAGGGCCUUUUCCCAAACUGAUCACAGGAAGUGACGACCCGUUCGCCCGGCGGACCGGGGGGCGUCGGGCAGGUCCUGGUCCAAGUGAGUGCCCGCCCCUGCCCUGGGCUGACGGAGUUCUUCCCCCAGCUGCUGGUAGACGUGGGAACCCGCAGGGGACGGAGCUGCGGGAUCCGAUAGGACCUCGAGGACCCUUGGGGCGCCGUUGUUCUGCCCUGGGAGAGAGGGUGGGAAGUAAGUGAAAUGCCGUCAGAAAGCUAAAGAACUACCGAGAGACCAAGACCCAGAGAAAGAGGCGGAGGUAGAGAGAUGGGGAAGGAGAGCACAGGUGGAUGUGUAAAGGUGUUCAUUUACACAUUCAGAGACACAAAUACAGGAAGAGACAGGGGCGCAGGCAGACACCCCGAGACAGGCUCGGUGAGUCGCAGGAAGAGACAGUCAAGAGACCCCAAGAGCAAAGGAGAUGGGCAGUCUAGACCAGGCGCGUCUACACCCGCGUUCGCCCUCAGGCUAACAUUGUCAGCUAGGACCACCUUUCUUCCCCUGGCCGCCCUAACACCUCGCAGCUUGCAGGCUGCGGCUGCUGGCAACACCCGAGUAAGAUCCUAUCCAGCCGCUGCCCUCUACUUUCCAGGGAAGUGUAGACCUUACAGGGGACGGGCCCCAGGUGCAGGGGCCGUCGCGCUAGCCAAGGGUGGCGUGCGGAGAUCGACGCGGCCUCGCCUUCGGUCAGGACUCAGCGGCCUCUUGGCCGCGCCCACACGCGCACCUCCGGUGGGCCUGGCUUUCCUAUGCACAUUCCUGCCCGCUGACGCUGCCCACGCAAGUGAGGUCAGCCGGGCUUUUUGCGCGUCUGGACAAAUCCAAAUCAGCCUGAGCUUUGCCUUCGCAUACCCCCUAGCCAGGCGCCACGAGGAUGUACGUGGCUCGCGCUUCCUUUUUUCCAAAGGCCGCCGAGCCCUUUGCGUGAACACGGAGUGACCAACGAAUACUUCCUCCUUCUGCGAGACCUGCCUCUUUAGGAUCCGAGUCCUAUAGACUGACCAGACUCGGCGCAGCACGCUGAUUGGAAGCGGCGACUGCCCGUCAAGCAUUCGCGUCUCUCCCCUCCCUUGACUUUCUUGGCAGGGUUAAGGGAUAAGAGAAAGUGGAGUUGCCUUAGUUCUGGGAGAGCCGGUUUGUGGGUCCGGCACAGGUAUCCAUGCGGACUUAGGCUGCAAAAGUCCUCUUGUGAAACGAGGAAUAGGCUCGAGCCUUCGAUUGGGUCGAGGGAAACGUCAAUCAAUGGAUGGGCGGGUGCAAACGCAACAGAACGUACAGUAUUGGUUAGGGUUUGGCGGGGGGCGUAGACAGCGGGGAAAUGAGGCGGCUUAUCUCGAUUGGCCCAGAAAGAAGGGGGGUCUCGCCCUCUGUACUCCGGGAUUGGCUAGAGCGAGCCGCGCCCCCCUCACGCCAACAACCACCGGUAAGCGAAGUGGGCCUAGCUCUCCCGGAUUAGCAGCCGUAGCCGGAUGCGUUGAAGGGAAGGCAGAGAGGUCUCAUUCAGCUCCCGAACAGACCUGACGUAGAUCCGGAAGUAGCCCGCACCAUCUCAAUUAUGAGGGGACACCUGUAGGCGACGGGAGAGGGACGCCGCGGGGAGCCAAUAAAGCUCCGCAACCGGAAGCGUUUUCUGGGGGCGUCGCACCCGGAAGUGUGGC
rnacentral:lncRNA from 1 species